GAUGAACGCUGGCGGCGUGCCUAAUACAUGCAAGUCGAGCGAACGGACGAGAAGCUUGCUUCUCUGAUGUUAGCGGCGGACGGGUGAGUAACACGUGGAUAACCUACCUAUAAGACUGGGAUAACUUCGGGAAACCGGAGCUAAUACCGGAUAAUAUUUUGAACCGCAUGGUUCAAAAGUGAAAGACGGUCUUGCUGUCACUUAUAGAUGGAUCCGCGCUGCAUUAGCUAGUUGGUAAGGUAACGGCUUACCAAGGCAACGAUGCAUAGCCGACCUGAGAGGGUGAUCGGCCACACUGGAACUGAGACACGGUCCAGACUCCUACGGGAGGCAGCAGUAGGGAAUCUUCCGCAAUGGGCGAAAGCCUGACGGAGCAACGCCGCGUGAGUGAUGAAGGUCUUCGGAUCGUAAAACUCUGUUAUUAGGGAAGAACAUAUGUGUAAGUAACUGUGCACAUCUUGACGGUACCUAAUCAGAAAGCCACGACUAACUACGUGCCAGCAGCCGCGGUAAUACGUAGGUGGCAAGCGUUAUCCGGAAUUAUUGGGCGUAAAGCGCGCGUAGGCGGUUUUUUAAGUCUGAUGUGAAAGCCCACGGCUCAACCGUGGAGGGUCAUUGGAAACUGGAAAACUUGAGUGCAGAAGAGGAAAGUGGAAUUCCAUGUGUAGCGGUGAAAUGCGCAGAGAUAUGGAGGAACACCAGUGGCGAAGGCGACUUUCUGGUCUGUAACUGACGCUGAUGUGCGAAAGCGUGGGGAUCAAACAGGAUUAGAUACCCUGGUAGUCCACGCCGUAAACGAUGAGUGCUAAGUGUUAGGGGGUUUCCGCCCCUUAGUGCUGCAGCUAACGCAUUAAGCACUCCGCCUGGGGAGUACGACCGCAAGGUUGAAACUCAAAGGAAUUGACGGGGACCCGCACAAGCGGUGGAGCAUGUGGUUUAAUUCGAAGCAACGCGAAGAACCUUACCAAAUCUUGACAUCCUUUGACAACUCUAGAGAUAGAGCCUUCCCCUUCGGGGGACAAAGUGACAGGUGGUGCAUGGUUGUCGUCAGCUCGUGUCGUGAGAUGUUGGGUUAAGUCCCGCAACGAGCGCAACCCUUAAGCUUAGUUGCCAUCAUUAAGUUGGGCACUCUAAGUUGACUGCCGGUGACAAACCGGAGGAAGGUGGGGAUGACGUCAAAUCAUCAUGCCCCUUAUGAUUUGGGCUACACACGUGCUACAAUGGACAAUACAAAGGGCAGCGAAACCGCGAGGUCAAGCAAAUCCCAUAAAGUUGUUCUCAGUUCGGAUUGUAGUCUGCAACUCGACUACAUGAAGCUGGAAUCGCUAGUAAUCGUAGAUCAGCAUGCUACGGUGAAUACGUUCCCGGGUCU
rnacentral:rRNA from 1 species